rnacentral:rRNA from 1 species
UACGGAGGGAGCAAGCGUUACUCGGAAUUAUUGGGCGUAAAGGGCGCGUAGGUGUUUGAGCAAGUCGGUUGUGAAAGCCCGAAGCCUAACUUCGGAAGGGCAACCGAUACUGCACAAAUUGAGUUCCGGAGAGGAAGGCAGAAUUCCCGGUGUAGCGGUGAAAUGCGUAGAUAUCGGGAGGAAUACCAGUGGCGAAGGCGGCCUUCUGGACGGAUACUGACGCUGAGGCGCGAAAGCCAGGGGAGCAAACGGG